AGCAGCCGCGGUAAUUCCAGCUCCAAUAGCGUAUAUUAAAGUUGCUGCAGUUAAAAAGCUCGUAGUUGAAUUUCGGGACCGAUAUAUCGGUCGUGCCUCGGUACGUACUGGUAUUUUCGGUUUCUACCUUCUGACGAACCUUGAUGUCAUUAAUUUGGUGUCUUGGGGAAUCAGGACUGUUACUUUGAAAAAAUUAGAGUGUUUAAAGCAGGCUCACGCUUGAAUACAUUAGCAUGGAAUAAUGAAAUAGGACGUUUGAUUCUAUUUUGUUGGUUUCUAGGAUCGACGUAAUGAUUAAUAGGGAUAGUUGGGGGCAUUGGUAUUCAAUUGUCAGAGGUGAAAUUCUUGGAUUUAUUGAAGACUAACUACUGCGAAAGCAUUUGCCAAGGAUGUUUUCAUUAAUCAAGAACGAAAGUUAGGGGAUCGAAGACGAUCAGAUACCGUCGUAGUCUUAACCAUAAACUAUGCCGACUAGGGAUCGGAUGAUGUAAUUUUUAAUGACUCAUUCGGCGCCUUACGG
rnacentral:rRNA from 1 species